CCGAGGCCAAGCUUAAGGUAGCCAUCAAUGGUUUCGGUAGGAUUGGGAGGAACUUCUUGAGGUGUUGGCAUGGCCGCAAAGACUCUCCUCUUGAUGUCAUUGCCAUUAACGACACUGGUGGUGUCAAACAAGCAUCGCAUCUCCUCAAAUACGACUCAACUCUUGGAAUCUUCGACGCUGACGUCAAACCUUCUGGAGACUCUGCUCUCUCUGUUGAUGGAAAGAUCAUCAAGAUUGUAUCUGAUCGGAACCCAUCUAAUCUCCCCUGGGGGUAAGCUGAAGAAACACUUCCCAUAUCCUUAUCAACCCGAGUAUAAAUCUUAAUCUUUGCUGAACGUUUUGGAAAAAAAUUUGGUGAUGAUGAUGUAUAGGGAAUUAGGCAUUGACUUGGUCAUCGAAGGAACCGGAGUGUUUGUGGACAGAGAAGGUGCUGGAAAGCACAUUCAGGCUGGAGCCAAGAAGGUUCUGAUUACUGCACCUGGAAAAGGCGAUAUCCCAACUUAUGUUUGUGGUGUCAAUGCUGAGCUUUACAGUCAUGAAGAUACAAUCAUCAGCAAUGCUUCUUGUACUACUAACUGUCU
rnacentral:lncRNA from 1 species